ACACUCCUGCGGGAGGCAGCAGUGGGGAAUUUUGGACAAUGGGUGAAAGCCUGAUCCAGCAAUGCCGCGUGUGUGAAGAAGGCCUUCGGGUUGUAAAGCACUUUUGUCCGGAAAGAAAUCCUUGGCUCUAAUACAGUCGGGGGAUGACGGUACCGGAAGAAUAAGCACCGGCUAACUACGUGCCAGCAGCCGCGGUAAUACGUAGGGUGCGAGCGUUAAUCGGAAUUACUGGGCGUAAAGCGUGCGCAGGCGGUUUGCUAAGACCGAUGUGAAAUCCCCGGGCUCAACCUGGGAACUGCAUUGGGGACUGGCAGGCUAGAGUAUGGCAGAGGGGGGUAGAAUUCCACGUGUAGCAGGGAAAUGCGUAGAGAUGUGGAGGAAUACCGAUGGCGAAGGCAGCCCCCUGGGCCAAUACUGACGCUCAUGCACGAAAGCGUGGGGAGCAAACAGGAUUAGAAACCCGAGUAGUCCCAUGA
rnacentral:rRNA from 1 species